rnacentral:rRNA from 1 species
UGCCAGCCGCCGCGGUAAUACGGAGGGGGUUAGCGUUGUUCGGAAUUACUGGGCGUAAAGCGCGCGUAGGCGGAUUAGUAAGUCGGAUGUGAAAGCCCUGGGCUCAACCUAGGAAUGGCAUUCGAUACUGCAGAGCUAGAGUAUGGUAGAGGGAAGUGGAAUUUCCGGUGUAGCGGUGAAAUGCGUAGAUAUCGGAAGGAACACCGGUGGCGAAGGCGACUUCCUGGGCCAAUACUGACGCUGAGGCGCGAAAGCGUGGGUAGCAAACAGGAUUAGAUA